rnacentral:lncRNA from 1 species
UCAGUUCAGUACUGUGCUGCGGUGAAGAAUAACACUAUGGUUUCUCCAUGAUUUUUUUUAAAACGAAGUCCGAGGCAGCUUCCACGUUUCAACUAUUAAGCAAAAGAAUUGAAGGUUCGAGGAAACAAUGACUGAAUUCUCAACUGCAAUGAAUCCCUUGACAACUUUUCUUCGAUAUGUCAAAAAUGUUGAAGGACAAGCAGGACUGUAGCCC